UUGCUGUAGUAUUUUGACUAUACAAAGGUAUUGUAAUAAGACUUUAAUUGAGAGCUAAAAGAAUGGACAAACAAAGAAAUUCUUUUUUAAAUCUAAAAAUUAAAUUUAUUUUUGUUUGUGAAGAAACAACAAUUACAAUUAAGGACAAGAAGACCCUAAGAAUUUUUCUUUAAAUAUAAAUAAAUUUAUUUAAGAUUUAAUUUUAAUUGGGGCGAUUGGAAAAAAUUAAAAACUUUUCUUUUUCAAAAAAUUGAACCAUUAAUAAUGGUCUUAUGAAAAAAAUACUCUAGGGAUAACAGCGUAAUAAUUUUUGAUAGUUCCUAUAGACAAAAUAGAUUGCGACCUCGAUGUUGGAUUAGGAUUCUUAUUUAAUGAAGAAGUUAAAUUAAGAAGUUUGUUCAACUUUUAAAUUCC
rnacentral:rRNA from 1 species